rnacentral:ncRNA from 23 species
AAGAGGGAAUCCGGUGAGAAUCCGGAACUGCCCCGCAGCGGUGAGAGAGAACGACAAGCGGCAGAAGCACUGGCCCCCAGCCGGGAAGCGCCGCCCAGUAGGACCACCGGGAACACCCCGGAACGCUCUCCAGUCCGAAGACCU